rnacentral:rRNA from 1 species
AGGUGGCAAGCGUUGUCCGGAUUUAUUGGGUUUAAAGGGUGCGUAGGCGGUUCUAUAAGGCAGGGGUGAAAUCCGGCAGCUCAACUGUCGAUGUGCCAUUGAUACUGCAGAACUUGAGUACAGAAGAGGUAGGCGGAAUUGACGGUGUAGCGGUGAAAUGCUUAGAUAUCGUCAAGAACACCGAUAGCGAAGGCAGCUUACUAGACUGUAACUGACGCUGAUGCACGAAAGUGUGGGGAUCAAACAGG